GGAUAGCCUUUCGAAAGAAAGAUUAAUACCCGAUAGUAUAAAGAGUUCGCAUGUUCUCUUUAUUAAAGGAUUCCGGUAAUCGAUGGGGAUGCGUUCCAUUAGAUAGUUGGGGAGGUAACGGCUCACCAAGUCUUCAAUGGAUAGGGGUUCUGAAAGGAAGGUCCCCCACAUUGGAACUGAGACACGGUCCAAACUCCUACGGGAGGCAGCAGUGAGGAAUAUUGGUCAAUGGGCGUUAGCCUGAACCAGCCAAGUAGCGUGAAGGAUGACUGCCCUAUGGGUUGUAAACUUCUUUUAUAAGGGAAUAAAAUGGGGAACGUGUUCCCCUUUGCAUGUACCUUACGAAUAAGGAUCGGCUAACUCCGUGCCAGCAGCCGCGGUAAUACGGAGGAUCCAAGCGUUAUCCGGAUUUAUUGGGUUUAAAGGGUGCGUAGGCGGAAUGAUCAGUCAGUUGUGAAAGUUUAAGGCUCAACCUUAAAAUUGCAGUUGAUACUGUCAUUCUUGAGUGUACAAGAGGUGGGGCGGAAUUCGUGGUGUAGCGGUGAAAUGCUUAUAUAUCACGAAGAACUCCAAUUGCGAAGGCAGCUCACUGGGGUACAACUGACGCUGAGCACGAAAGUGUGGGUAUCAAACAGGAUUAUAUACCCU
rnacentral:rRNA from 1 species